CUACGACGUUGAUAGGUCGGGUGUGUAAGUGUAGCGAUACAUUGAGCUAACCGAUACUAAUGAACCGUGAGGCUUAACCU
rnacentral:rRNA from 1 species